CGCUGCUACUAGGAGAAAAGUGCGGAUACCACUCUGGGACGUCCCUGUGGGCCCCACCAAAGCCCGCGAGGCAGGGGAACGGCAGAGCUCAUGCCCGACUCCCAGUGGGUUGAGGGACUCUGCCCUCGUCCUGCCCUUGUCACACCUCCUUCUCUGAGGGCUUAGAAGGUGCUCUUCGCCACCACCUCUGUUCCUGCCCGCCUGUCACUGUGCCUGCUGGGCGGAAUUUCGGGCUCUGGCACCCAGUCAGCCCAGUGCGGAGUCGCCCCAGCUUGCCACCAGGGAAGUCAGAUGAUGCUGUCUACUGUCGGUUGCUUCACAGCACCUCCACGUUCAAAGAACAUCUUCCUGAGAAUAUACUUGGAAAGUACUGUGACCACAAAACAUCAUAUUCACAGAGAGUUCAAAGGGAUACUGGAUACAGAAUAAGAAAAUUUGAGAGAAUAAAACUCAGGAGUUGAGUUCCUGCCUGGAAAGCAAGAUGAGGGAACUUUCCAGCCUACACCAAUGUUCACAGUUGAUUGAAUUACAUGAUUUUUCUUCUUUUGAACUCAGAAGUCAUUUGGAAACUUUGGGGGAAAUUUCACCACAUCCUUUAAGUCUUGCUUAUGGCUAGCAGGGGAGGUGCAUUAGAACUCACAGAAGUAUCUCAGCCUCCAGUAUCAGUAGCCUUGCCAUAAAUCUACCCAUAAGGUUUCCUGUCCAAGCUUCAUUGUCAGUAUCGUUCAUGUUCACAGUUUUACCUCCACUGCUAGCCAUAUUUUUCUGGAUGGUCUUAAACUAUUUGCUGAGUUUUGGGUUUUUUGUUUUGUCUUAUUAGAUUUUGUUUGUUUUGUUUGUUUGUUUUGCAGAGAGUUUUCAGUUAGGUAAAUCUUACAUUACCAUUAAGAAAUGCUCUGAGUUGUGCAUUGCCCAGUAACUGCUUCUCACUGUUCUGGCUUUGAUGGUAUUUUGGUAUUAUUUUUACUUUGUAUCUUAAUCUGUGGACAUAGACCACACCAUUAUUAGUUUCUACUGGAGAUAUCUAUGUGUGUGGCAUGUAUUCCGGAUUAUGUGUAUGUCUGUACAUAUGUGCACAUGGGUGUAGAGGACAGAAAUUGACUUAGGGCUUUUUUCCUCCAUCACUCUUCCAUCUUAGGUUUUGACCCAGGGUCUCUCACUGAACCUGUAAUUCAUCAGUUCAGAUAGGCUGGCUGGCCAAUGAGUUUCCCAGACCUGCCUGUCUCUGCCCUCUCAGGACUGGGGUUAUCUGCCAUAUCAGAUGAGUACUUUACUAGCUGACUCAUCCUGUGGAAACAAUGUAUCCAUAGGAUUCUUAUUUGGGUCUUUCUUCUUCUUCGUCUACUUUAUCUUCUUUCUAAUUAUUGUUUCCCAGCAUUUGUUACACCACAAGCUUUUGUAUCUGUAUUUCUUGACUCCUUCAUGGUUAUUUCAGUCCUGCUUUCCCUCUUUGUCAUCCUAGCAGGGACUCUUAAACCAUCGGGUGUGGGCAGCUGCUCCUCCAUAACCUCUGUGGGCCUCUCCUCUUGAGAAAGUUAUUUAUUAAGGCAAACCACAGCUCCUGUCAUUCAGUUAGUUUCAGGGCUGCAAGUGCUACUUAUCAUUCUCCUCCACAGUCAAUGGCAAGUUCUAUUUCCCUUAGGCUGUUUCUUCCAUAAGCCUAAGGGCUUAGCUUGUAUGACUCCAGUCCUCAUUCCUGAUUUUUGAAAACAUGUAUAUUGGUAAUUAUUUACAUCUCACUCUGGAAUUGCUGCACAUGUCCUUCCACAGUUAGAAUUUGGAAUCAAAAUGUUCCCAGAUUAGUCACCUGUAUGCUUUCCUCUGCCUAGCAGCAUUUUGGUUUCCUAUUGCUCUAGCUCAGUUACCACUGCCAAGAUGGGAAACCCUUGCCUGCUCAUACCUGGAUCCAGAGUUCAAAAUAGUCCAAAUAGUAGCUCUAACUUACAGUCUAAUAGGACUCUUAUUGUGUCUCCUGGCAGAAAUGCAUCCCAUUUGGAAGGCAGGACUUUUAUACCUUCAAUAUAAAGAGUUGUGGGGACAGGAAAGUGUCCCCUAACAAGUCAGUAGAACUGGUGUUCAGUGGGGUCGUUUCUGCUUUCUCUGUUUUGUUCUUGGAUCCAUGUGAUUGUUCUUAGUAGGGACGAUAAUCCAAGUCAGUACUGUUUCUUGAAGGAUGGCACUUAAUCCUUAUGAAAUCCUGCUUCUGGACUGGCACUUCAGUUAUGCCAUUAUUACAUAACACUGAAAGCGAAUGUCAGGGUUAAACAGCAAGGUCAGAAACACCGAGGAAGGUAAAUAAGAAGGCUUGCACCUGGCUAUGAAACAGCCAAGCUGACCAGGUAAGAGAAGAGGCAGAACUCUGGGAAAACCAAAACCUGUUGAGAUGUUUCAGCAGGGCCCAGGAGUCCCACCUUCCCCUGCAGGAACAUGUACAAGGUUCUGUUGUCCCUUCCCUUAGGAAACAUCUAAAAUUUACAGGUAGUUAAACCUUCAUGGAUAACCAUGCAUCUAAUUGUAACAGACUGAAUUGUGGGUAAUGGCUUCUGAGAAAGCUUCCACCUUUUUUAAGAGGAUGACCUCUCCAGACUGCCCCAGGGAUAGACAAAGGAGAAUUGGUAGACAAAGUCCAGAAGCUAGGGGCAUCCCUUGGCCAUUGCCACUUGGCUCACAGUACCCGUCUUGCCUUUGCCUUCCCACUUGCUACAUACAGUAAACCUCAACAACUUGUUUGCCCUACCUGUCCCCUAGUGUGAAUCUCUUUGUCUGAGAUUGGAGGACGUGGGAGGAGACAUCUCUGACAGCAUCAGUAGGUUGCCUGGUGAUCUGUCAAGUUGAAUGACCCUGUCAUUCCCUAGUCUCGAGUUCACAUAUUGUCGUUUACUGUGAAGUAGGUCCCGUUUGCAUGCUGUUGAAUUGGAUCCCAUACCUGUGAGUCAGGCAUUCUUUAAGGCCCUAAGUAAUGAUAAUAUAGGCUAAGGCUCUGAAAGGCAGAACAACAAAUCCAUACCCAGAAUAAGUGUUUAUCCCUGUUGGGAUAGACAACUAGCCACUCCAAAAUGGAAAGAGUCCAUGUUAUUGACCAGGUAUCUGAUUUGUCUCAAGUAAUACUGUGGUAUUGGGAACACAGUGUAGGUCUCUCUCUAUUCCUAGCACGUUCCUUGGAAACAGAUGUAGGUAUGGAUUGGCUUUUGUAGUUGGGAAUUUAUGUUGUGACUCACGUAUAGCCUCCUAUGCAAACAUAACUACUCAUGUGUUGUCUUAGUGACAGUUGUAGAGUAGGCCAUGACAAACACUUGCUUAACAACAACUGAUGAAAUCCUUUGUCGGUUUGAGUUUCUCUGUUUCUUUUUCAUGAUGGAUGUUCUGGUCAGAAUGAACAUGUCAUUGGCUACUAAGCAAGACAGGCACCUUUAGGGACAAAAUCGUAUGUUGAGGCACCUUCAGGGUAUCCUUUCUUUGCAGCUGAGGCUUUAUGGCAUAAGCAGCAGAACAUUCCUUGGGGCAUGUCUGCUCAUUAGUUUUUGCUCAGCGAGCUCCAGAAUGUGUCUACUAUAUCCUCUUUUAAAACUACGACCUUAAACUGAGUUUGUUCAGGGAUGUACUCCUUAACUAAGCAUGCUUAUUGUUCAGUCUUGGGCCAACCCUUAUGUGAAUGUGUAUAGGCUCUCUGAAUAAAAUUCCCAUGCUUUGUUGGAGGAGCUUUGGAAAGGACACCUGUGUUGUCUCUUAUCUAUUGCAAGUAAUCUUUCUCUGGUCUUUUUAUAUACUGACUGAUUAUUUUAGCUUGCACUCAAUGAUAUGUGAACCCGUUAUAUUUGAUUACAAUAUAAUAAAGAAGAUUCUCACCCCUUGUGACAGCACAUCUCCAUUUCUUUACCUCUCUUCCCUACUCUGUUGUCCCUGACCUUCCGAUCUUCACUGCUAGGAUCCUCUCCCUUGGCAAGGCCAUUGCUGUUGCACAGGCAUCUUCACAACACAGUUACUCUCAUUCCACAUAGAGUGGAUGAAAAGUUAUGGGGUGAAAGCUUUGCAGUUAGCAAGUUUUGCCCUCUCACUGUCUUUUAGGGUCACCUAAGUGUAGCUUCCUUUUGUACACCAAGCCAAAUUCUUUAUAUAACAAGCCAACAUUGUCUUUUAGCCAGGGCAGUUGGAGGAAGAUGUGCUGGCUCAAGCUCAGUGCAUGGCAAUAGGGGUCCGGGAUACAGGUUCAUGAAGAUGAUUCAUCCCUGCCAAUACAACGCAUCUUUUACACACCUCCAUGAACUGCUGCUGGGCCCAUCUACCUUAGGACUUAGCUCAUAAUGAAUUCAAAUACAUAGUAACUUGGAACCCCAUGGUCAAGUUUUCUGUCUUUGGUACCAUAUCUAGUAUGGUUUCUUGAAAGGAGUACAAUCCUGUUAGAGGUAUCACUUUUCUCUGUUACCUGGGACAUCUAUAUUUUGAUCUCCAUGUAUAUGAAAACCUACAGUUACAAAGCCAUUUGUUGCUCCUGGGUGUAUUCUAAAUAAAGGGCAAUAUUCCUGUG